GAAAGGGAGAGCGUCGCUUCUCGCUUCCCAUUCUCUGCACUUUCAAAUCCCAGGCCUCUGCCCUUUCCACUCCGAUUCUAGAGGAGAAGAAAGGCUUCAUCGGCGCACCCCCGAGGGUAAACUCCUCCUCUUAUUCUCUUAUUCACUUUUUUUUUUAUUUCAACGAAAUGAGAACAGAGGCAAAAGAAAAAAAUAAAAAAACCGAAUCAGAGAACCAAAAUCACCUUUUUUCAGUUUUCGUUUGUAUUGAUUUUUUCUUUUUUGAUACAGUGUGCGGGAGUGUGUUCUUUACAAAUACUAAAAAAAUGGCUUUAUAGCCGAAUCGAAAAGAAACGAGAAAAUAAAAAUAUUUUUUUCUCUGCUAUUUUUCUCUUUUUCUGUUGCUUUUUGUUUUUUCUUCCUUCUUUUUUUGCUGUUGUCUUGUCGUUUGCUGCAGGUACGGGUACGGAGGCCAACUGGAGGCUCGUGGUGGCGCUACGUGCGUGAGGGAAAAUCUACUGGCUGCGGCGCUAAAAGUUUCCUGCUGCUAGGGUUUCUGCUCUCGGGUUGGGAUUUGGGCUGAUUGGGUUUUCUGGAUAUUGGGUUAUGGGUUUGUAACGGGAUUUUGAAUUUUGUUGUUUAUUUAUUAUUUAGGCUUUUUAUCAGGCCCGGGCAAAAUUUGGGCAUCACAACUGUUGAGCUUCGUCGACUUAACAAGGCCAAAUCGGAUUCCCUUGUGUUCCUCACAGAUUUAAAAUGUUCAUAUAUGAAGUUUUGACAAAAAGAGAGAGGAAGAUAUGGAGUAAGAGGGAGCAACAAAAGGAAGCUUGGUUGUAACACCCCUCACCUGGAGUGAACCAAUACAUCAUGAGCAAGGGAUGUCACAUUUGGAAACUAAGGCUACUUAAUCAAAAAUCAAUUUAAAAACUUUGUUUUAACAUAAAUAGACUCUUUUGAAGUUUUUUAAGUCGUUUCUAGGCUUUUUUUAAAGUUUCGCACUAAUUUUAUUAUUUUGCAAAAUUUUCAUUAAACCCUAAUUUGUGACCCGCAUUGUUUUUUUAAAAUAAAUAUUGCAAAAUUAUUUCAAAAAUAAGGAAAUAUCCUAGUGGUUAAUUGAUAAAUGGAAAAGCAUGGAAUUAAUUUAAGGUCCAAGUUUGAAUUGUUUUCCUUGCAAAAUAAUUAAGUUUUGCAAAAUCCUUUGUUCUUUUUAAUGUGUGUGCCAUCCAUACCCUUGAACCCUAGGUACAAAUACAAAUUUUUCUUGUAUUUUUUAGCUUUAAGUCAAUUUUCCCUACCCUAGUUGUUCACCCACUUCCUCUCCUUUAUUCUCUUCAAUUUUCUUUCUUUCUUCCCCUGUGUACCGUCGCCCAAGCCACCAAGAUUCACCAUCAAUUUCUCUUCUUUUUGCAACGGGUUCUUGCACCAUUAUUUUCCUCUUCUUGAUGUCAUUUUAUCAUAAAAUUUCCAGCCUUAAAUCUGAAAUUUUAGCACUCAAGAUCGGCCUCCAUUGGUGCCCUAAAAGAACUCUAUUGCCGCCCCUUUCACAUAGCUUGUGUAAGUUCUUGUUUUCUUUCAAUUUUUUAAUGAAUCUUGUAAGUUAAAAACCCAAACUUCUAGAUUUGGAAUUUGGGUGAAUUUUAAAUAUUUAAUGGGAAUUUUUCUAACCUUUAAAGUGAUUUCAAUUAUGGUUUUAAAUCAGUCCUGAUUUGCUACAUUGGUGGUGGUGUGCAGCACCUAGAGGCACAAAAGGGAGCUGUUGUUUCUUUAUUUUUUCCAUUUAUUUCCAGAAACAUCUUGGGUUUUUGAACCCUUCCUAAUAAGCCCUUAAUCACGUGUAAUUAGGAAAAAAUCAAUCUUGAUCGAUUGGCGACUCAGAUCUAACAAUUCGGGAAGCGCAUCGACUUAAAUGCCCCAAACCAGCAGUGAAGCCAAAAGACAUUUGCGCUUACGAUUCACAUCAAUUCAGUAGGAGUUCCGUAGAGUACCAGCGGCAUAUCAAGUCCGCAUUAUUCGUAGCCAGUGCAUUGCACCUGAAGCACCGAGGGGAAUGGUGGUUUUAUCGCACUAUUUGUUAUUCAACAGAUUUUCUGCAUUUAUUGUAUUCUGUGGUUUAUACUACAUCGAGCUUUGAUCACAAACAUUGGAGUUUGGCAUACGGGUUCUAGGGAACUUCUGGUGUGUAGCAGAUGGUUGGGGUAGGAACCUUUUUGCAUUGCAUCAUGCUCACGACAUACUCAAAUGUUACUGAUUUAUGCUAUGUAUUGUAUUGUGUUGUAUUGAAUGGUAUUAAAAUUAAUGAUUGUUAUUCAAAUGAAUGAUGGCCCAUGCUCAUACAC